UACGAAGGGGGCUAGCGUUGUUCGGAAUUACUGGGCGUAAAGCGCGCGCAGGCGGUCUUCCAAGUCAGUGGUGAAAGCCCGGAGCUCAACUCCGGAACUGCCAUUGAAACUGUAAGACUUGAGGAUGAGAGAGGUGAGUGGAAUUCCCAGUGUAGAGGUGAAAUUCGUAGAUAUCAAGCAGAACACCUGCGGCGAAGGCGGCCUUCUGGACGAUGACUGACGCUGAGACGCGAAAGCGUGGGGAGCAAACAGG
rnacentral:rRNA from 1 species